GAAGGCCUGCGGGUUGUAAAGCACUUUCAUUGGGGAGGNAAAGUUGCACGGUUAAUAGCUGUGCGAGUUGNACGUUACCCAAAGAAGAAGCGCCGGCAAACUUCGUGCCAGCAGCCGCGGUAAUACGAAGGGCGCAAGCGUUAAUCGGAAUCACUGGGCGUAAAGGGCGCGUAGGCGGCUAUGUAAGUCGGAUGUGAAAGCCCCGGGCUCAACCUGGGAAUUGCAUUCGAUACUGCGUAGCUAGAGUCCGGUAGAGGGUAGUGGAAUUCCCGGUGUAGCGGUGAANAUGCGUAGAUAUCGGGAGGAACACCAGUCCCGAAGGCGACUGCCUGGACCGAGACU
rnacentral:rRNA from 1 species